AAAAAGACUCUCGGCAACGGAUAUCUCGGCUCUCGCAUCGACGAAGAACAUAGCGAAAUGCGAUACUUGGUGUGAAUUGCAGAAUCCCGUGAACAAUCGAGUCUUUGAACGCAUGUUGCGCCCGAAGCCAUUAGGCCGAGGGGCAUC
rnacentral:rRNA from 1 species